rnacentral:rRNA from 1 species
GACGAACGCUGGCGGCGUGCCUAAUACAUGCAAGUCGAACGCACUCUCGUUUAGAUUGAAGGAGCUUGCUCCUGAUUGAUAAACAUUUGAGUGAGUGGCGGACGGGUGAGUAACACGUGGGUAACCUGCCCUAAAGUGGGGGAUAACAUUUGGAACAGAUGCUAAUACCGCAUAAAACCUAACACCGCAUGGUGUAGGGUUGAAAGAUGGUUUCGGCUAUCACUUUAGGAUGGACCCGCGGUGCAUUAGUUAGUUGGUGAGGUAAAGGCUCACCAAGACCGUGAUGCAUAGCCGACCUGAGAGGGUAAUCGGCCACACUGGGACUGAGACACGGCCCAGACUCCUACGGGAAGCAGCAGUAGGGAAUCUUCCACAAUGGACGAAAGUCUGAUGGAGCAACGCCGCGUGAGUGAAGAAGGUUUUCGGAUCGUAAAACUCUAGUUGUUGGAGAAGGAAUGUAUCUGAUAGUAACUGAUCAGGUAGUGACGGUAUCCAACC